AAAAAAGGUAAGCUACUAAGAGCGAAUGGUGGAUGCCUUGACUGGUAAAGGCGAUGAAGGACGUACUAGACUGCGAUAAGCUACGGGGAGCUGUCAAGAAGCUUUGAUCCGUAGAUUUCCGAAUGGGGCAACCCAAUGUAUAGAGAUAUACAUUACCUAUAUAGGAGCGAACGAGGGGAAUUGAAACAUCUUAGUACCCUCAGGAAAAGAAAUCAAUAGAGAUUGCGUCAGUAGCGGCGAGCGAAAGCGCAAGAGGGCAAACCCAGUGCUUGCACUGGGGGUUGUAGGACUGCAAUGUGCAAGAGCUGAGUUUAGCAGAACAUUCUGGAAAGUAUAGCCAUAGAGGGUGAUAGUCCCGUAUGCGAAAAACAAAGCUUAGCUAGCAGUAUCCUGAGUAGGGCGGGACACGAGGAAUCCUGUCUGAAUCCGGGUCGACCACGAUCCAACCCUAAAUACUAAUACCAGAUCGAUAGUGCACAAGUACCGUGAGGGAAAGGUGAAAAGAACUGAGGUGAUCAGAGUGAAAUAGAACCUGAAACCAUUUGCUUACAAUCAUUCAGAGCACUAUGUAGCAAUACAGUGUGAUGGACUGCCUUUUGCAUAAUGAGCCUGCGAGUUGUGGUGUCUGGCAAGGUUAAGCAAACGCGAAGCCGUAGCGAAAGCGAGUCUGAAUAGGGCGCUUAGUCAGAUGCUGCAGACCCGAAACGAAGUGAUCUAUCCAUGAGCAAGUUGAAGCUAGUGUAAGAACUAGUGGAGGACUGAACCCAUAGGCGUUGAAAAGCCCCGGGAUGACUUGUGGAUAGGGGUGAAAGGCCAAUCAAACUUCGUGAUAGCUGGUUCUCUCCGAAAUAUAUUUAGGUAUAGCGUUGUGUCGUAAUAUAAGGGGGUAGAGCACUGAAUGGGCUAGGGCAUACACCAAUGUACCAAACCCUAUCAAACUCCGAAUACCUUAUAUGUAAUCACAGCAGUCAGGCGGCGAGUGAUAAAAUCCGUCGUCAAGAGGGAAACAACCCAGACUACCAGCUAAGGUCCCUAAAUCUUACUUAAGUGGAAAACGAUGUGAAGUUACUUAAACAACCAGGAGGUUGGCUUAGAAGCAGCCAUCCUUUAAAGAAAGCGUAAUAGCUCACUGGUCUAGUGAUUUUGCGCGGAAAAUAUAACGGGGCUAAAGU
rnacentral:rRNA from 1 species